AUACGUAGGGUGCGAGCGUUGUCCGGAAUUACUGGGCGUAAAGAGAUCGCAGGCGGUUUGUCGCGUCGUCUGUGAAAUUCCGGGGCUUAACUCCGGGCGUGCUGGCGAUACGGGCAUAACUUGAGUACUGUAGGGGAGACUGGACUCCCUGUGGAAGCGGGGAAAUGCGAAGAUAACAGGAGGAACACGGUGGCGAAGGCGGGUCUCUGGGCAGUAACUGACGUUGAGGAGCGAAAGCAUGGGUAGCAAACAGGAUUAGAUACCCUGGUAGUCCAUGCCGUAAACGGUGGGCGCUAGGUGUAGGGGUCUUCCACGACUUCUGUGCCGUAGCUAACGCAUUAAGCGCCCCGCCUGGGGAGUACGGCCGCAAGGCUAAAACUCAAAUGAAUUGACGGGG
rnacentral:rRNA from 1 species